AGAGUUUGAUCCUGGCUCAGAAUCAACGCUGGCGGCGCGCUUAACACAUGCAAGUCGCACGAGAAAGGGGCAACCUGAGUAAAGUGGCGUACGGGUGAGUAACACGUGGAUUAUCUACCUUUUAGUGGGGAAUAACCCUGGGAAACCGGGGCUAAUACCGCAUAAGCUCGUGAGAGGAAACCCGCAAGGGGCUGAAAGAG
rnacentral:rRNA from 1 species